UACGUAGGGUGCAAGCGUUGUCCGGAAUUACUGGGCGUAAAGAGCGCGUAGGCGGCCUGAUACGACGCGUGUGAAAGCCCCCGGCUCAACUGGGGAGGGUCACGCGUAACGGUCAGGCUCAGAGUGCAGGAGAGGGAAGUGGAACUCCGGGAGUAGCGGUGAAAUGCGUAGAGACCCGGAGGAACACCAGUGGCGAAGGCGGCUUCCUGGUCUGCGACUGACGCUGUGGCGCGAAAGCUAGGGGAGCGAACGGG
rnacentral:rRNA from 1 species